UCCAAAUUAGGCAUUGACCCACCUACCGAACCAAAUCGAUCUGGCCUUUCGGAUCUAACCCAUUUUCUCUCACAGCAACACCGGGUUCAGUCUCUUUCCAGGGUUGCCAAACAAUCCAACCCUAUCCCUCCCGGACCCGCCGAUCGGACCGUCCCUGAAGCUGCAGACAGAGCUUACGCAGCAACUUCUGCCUUUGUCAACAUAACCUUAUGAGAUGGAAAUAUCAAAUGACUUGGCUGGCAAGAAACCAAAGCGAUUGACGUCUGUGGUUUGGAAUCAUUUUGAGAGGGUUGGAAAGGGCGACAGUUGUUAUGCCAUUUGUAUACAUUGUAACAAGAAACUCAGUGGCUCAAGUAAUAGUGGAACAACACAUCUGAGAAACCACUUAAUGCGAUGUCUGAAAAGAUCAUCCACUAUUGACGUGUCUCAACUACUUGCAGUGAAGAGAAAAAAAGAUACUACUAUUAGCAUAGCAAAUGUCAGCUUUGAUGAAGGGCAGAGAAAAGAUGACUAUAUUAAGCCAAGAAUUUUGAAGUUUGAUCAGGAUCAGAAAAAGGAUGAAAUCGUUAACCUUGGGAGUAGUAAGUUUGAUCAGGAGAGGAGUCAGAUUGAUCUUGCUCGCAUGAUAAUAUUACAUGGUUACCCCUUGGCCAUGGUUGACCAUGUUGGAUUCAAAGUAUUUGUCAAGAAUCUUCAACCGAUGUUUGAGGUUGUGCCAAAUAGUGCUGUUGAGAAAGCUUGUGUGGAGAUUUAUGAGAAAGAGAAACUGAAAGUGUAUGAAACGAUAAAUAAAUUGCAUGGUAGAAUUAACCUUUGUGUUGAAAUGUGGUCUUCACCGGAGAACAUUGAAUAUUUGUGUUUGACAGCAAAUUAUAUUGAUGAGGAUUGGAAAUUGCAGAAGAAGAUUCUGAAUUUUGUCACACUUGAUUCUUCUCAUACUGAAGACAUGCUUCCUGAAGUGAUUAAUAAGUGUCUAAUGGAUUGGGAUGUGGACCAUAAGUUGUUUGCCUUGACAUUUGAUGAAAUUUCCACAGAUGAUGAAAUUGUCCUGAGACUUAAAGAACAGAUAUCUCAUAAAAGGCCUCUUUUGAGUAAUGUUCAGUUAUUUGGUGUGCAAUCUGCUGCGCACAUUAUAAAAUUGAUUGUUCUAGAUGCUAUGGAAGCAUUGAGAGAGGUAAUCCAAAAGAUUCGAGCAAGUGUCAAAUAUGUUAGAAGUUCACAAGUAGCACAAGUAAAGUUUAAUGAGGUCGCCCAACAAGUUGGAAUCAGCAGCAAGAAGAACUUCCUUCUUGAUUGCCCAGUUCAAUGGCACUCAACGUAUAUCAUGCUUGAAACGGUCUUGGAAUACAGGGGCGCAUUUUCUCUCUUGCAAGACCAUGAUCCUGCCUACACAUCUGCUCUAACUGAUACAGAGUGGGAAUGGGCCAGUUCUGUCACUGGUUACAUGAAACUUUUUGUUGAAAUCAUAAAUGUAUUUUCCAGCAACAAAUGCCCAACUGCAAAUAUGUAUUUUCCUGAGAUUUGUGAUGUUCACAUCCAAUUAAUCGAAUGGUGCAAGAGUCCAGAUAAUUGUCUUAGUUCCAUGGCAUUGAAGAUGAAAGCCAAGUUUGAUAAAUAUUGGAGCAAGUGCAGUUUUGCUUUGGCAGCAGCAGCCAUCUUAGAUCCUCGAUUCAAAAUGAAGUUAGUGGAGUAUUACUAUUCUCUGAUUUAUGGUAGUGCUGCUUUGGAUCGUAUCAAGGAAGUUUCUGAUGGUAUAAGGAAACUUUUCAAUGCAUACUCUAUCUGCUCAACGAUGAUUGAUCAAGGUUCGGCUUUGCCUGGUAGCAGCUUACCUAGUACAAGUAAUGACACCAGGGAUAGACUGAGGGGCUUUGACAAAUUUCUUCACGAGACUUCUCUCAGUCAAAAUGAAAUAUCGGACUUGGACAAAUAUUUGGAGGAACCAGUCUUCCCUCGUAGUUGUGAUUUUAACAUCUUAAAUUGGUGGAAAGUUCAUAUGCCGAUGUACCCCAUCUUGUCCAUGAUGGCACGUGAUGUUCUCGGGACUUCCAUGUCGACUGUUGCACUGGAAUCAGCAUUUAGCACUGGAGGUAGAGUGCUUGACGAUUGUAGAAGUUCGCUGAAUGCAGAUACUCUUCAGGCAUUGAUAUGCACGCGAGAUUGGUUGCGGAUUGAAUCAAGAGAUUUCAAUCCAUCCUCGAGCCAUUCUACUCGACCCCUUGUCAUUGAAUCGAAUUAAUUUGUGUGGGGUAUGUUUUUGUCGAGAUGCAUUCCCUCAAAUAUCUUGAUUUUGUAGGCAUUCUCAUGAAAAGAACCAAAGGACUGUCAUCUCCGAGGCCCCACAUGUUGAGGAGAUUCUAGACCACAGAAUCAUAUUCCCAAAGCUGUUGCACUCCAUAUGCGAACAAAUAUCAUGCGUGUCUAUGCGUGUGUGGUCACAAAGAGAUUACCCCUAUUACCCCCACCCCCAGCUUUUAAGCUCCUUUAUUUCAAAUACUAUGAACCACCCUGAAUUCUUUCCCUUUGAUUAUUAAUUUUCAUUUACUGCUAUCUA